CUUAGCCGUCACUCCCAUUUCACCUCUUGGUUUUCUCAAACCCUCUCUCUCCCCUCCUUUGCUUUCUUCCUUUCUCAGUCUCUCUCUCUCUCUCCUUUCUUCCUCUCUUCCUCCAAAUCACUCUCUCUCCAAUAUUCUUCUAUCCUCCUAGCGGAUUCUUUCUUCCAAACCAUGAUUUUCCCUCGCCCCUUUUGAAUUGGAACCCCUCCAAAUUGGAAGAUUCUAAUCCGGAUUUUCCGAUCUCUCACAGGUUUUUACUUGUAGUUUGUUUUGUGCAUGAUUUCUACAUGAAUGGACAAAAAAUUAAAAAAAAAAAAAAAACCAAAAUUGAAUUGAAACCAGACUGAACAAGAAUCGAAAAAAAAAAUGAACCGAACCAAAAAUUCGGUAUGGUUUCAAUUUUGGCAAAAAAUUGAACCGAUUCAAACCGAACCCACCCCUACAUUACACUGUAAGAUGGCUAAAAAUUCAUGGAGAGUCAAUUUACGUUAAAGGAGUCCCUUAGCAUUUCUCUUUACUUUUUUUUUUCUUUCUUAUGGGAACGAUAUUGGGAAGAAGAAUUGAACUCACAACCUCGAACAUGAAUUAAUGUUUUACAAGUCCUUUGCGAGAAAAUUUUUAUGUGUCGAGAACACGGUUCAGUAUACCAAGUGUCAUAAUAUAAGUGGUUGGAAAUUUUUCUUUUCAAGUAUUCAGCCACUUAUAUUAUGACACUUGAUGUACUGUGCCGUGUUACAAACACACUAAAAAAUCUCUAUUUUUUGCACGUUUGCAUUUAAUACAAUAUUUACAAAUUAACAAACACGUAUAGGGUCAUAACAAGACUAGGGUCUUGUAUAAAUAAUUAUUAAGUAUCGGUUUUACAAUCCAUGUAAAUCAAAUUUGAGAUUUUGCGAAUACUUUUAAACCAAAGGUUAAAUAGUUGAAAGACAGUUUUAUUCAAAAUAUAGAGUAAAAGUAAUUUUUUUGUUGGACAAUCUAAUACGAAUUCAUCUUCUACUGUAUCUCACCACCUAAACAUUUUCUUUGGAAAAUUGCAUUUUUCCAAAAUUGAGGGGGAAAAUGUCAACAAUGCUAUCGUUCAAAUUAUAAACGUUUAAUUAGAUGAGAUCGAGAAAUUAAGAGAGACAAAAAUAAGUAAAUAUGUUUGGGUUGAUUAGGGAUCAAGUUUUAAUUAACACUGCAAUAUAAGAGUCAAUACAAACGUCCCGAUCAGUGUCUCAACUAUGCACAUUCCCAGAAUUUUUUUUCCUUCUUUUAGCUAAAGAAUAAAAAUAAAAUUACAAAACAAUAUUACAAUCAAACUAUAUAAACAUAUAUAAAAAUUAAAGAGUUGGGAAAUUGAAUGAAUAAUAAGUAGGAGGAAUUAUCAAAGCAUGUCGCACCUUAUAUUUUCUCCUAAAGUGGGAUUCUUUAUGAUUAUCGUAUAGUUUAAUGUUAAUUAUUGUACCAAUGUUAUAAAUAUUAUAUUAAAAAUAUAAGAUGACAAAUAAUUUAUAAAAUGUUAUUUUCAAAAGAAUCUCCUUUAUAAUUUUCUUCUGUAUCACUGUAUGUACUAUGUGCCUGUGUGGCACAAGACCAAUUGCACAAACGAUCGAGGAAAAGAAGAAAUUGUCUUUGUGUGUUGAAUAUUCACGGACUUCUUUUUCUUACUUUUUUUUAUGCACAAACGAUCGAGGAAAAGAAGAAAUUGUCUUUGUGUGUUGAAUAUUCACGGACUUCUUUUUCUUACUUCUUGUUUUUUUUAUGGGGAAUUCGUGGACCUUAAUGUUUUGAGAGCGGCGCAAAAACGUUCCCACGCGUAUCACAACUCUCAUGCCACUCAUGUAUGCAAUGAUUUCACUACCUCAACAACCUAUUUUGUAUAACUUUAUCGACAAACUUGACCGAGUCAAAGCAGCCGAAAAUAAUUGCACAAGUCAUCUGUCCUACUCCCGCGAGAAAUGGUACUAUCUACUUAACUUAACGAGAGUUUUUAUGGUAGAUUAUGUGUUGUUAUAUAAAUAAUGAGAUAUGUAUAUUAAAAAAUAAAUAAUUUAAAAAAUAAAAUAUUUUAUCAUUUACAUAAAAAUACAUGAUAUAUCAUCUAUAUUUCCGUCAUAAUUAAAAAUUUCUUCUAUGUAACGACGUCUGUUGACAGAUCGCAGCCUUGUAGGGUAAUUGACAAAACGUUUGCAUCUUCACGGAACCAACCACUGAAAUAGGAUAUUGUUCAUGGGAUUUAUAAUAUUUUUAUACAACUGUAUCCUAUUUUAAAUGAAGAGCGAUUGGAAUUGAGAUUUUUUCGGAAUCUUUGUGUCCAUUAGAAAAUUCAAAUCGUUUAAGAGAGAGAUCCGAGGCAUUCAAGGUCUUGAUUUUGUGAACGGUGGGCCAUGUGUUAAUAGAGGCUGCAUGAUAUAAAUGAAGUGGCUUGAUUUUUGGGUCCAUCGGCUCUGUACUCAAAGACCCGAAGAGGAUCGCGGUCUAGGUCACACAAUAGGAAAGUCAUAACUAUCUUCAUUCAUAAGUUAAACACAAAACUUCUCACUCACAUAUGAAAAUGAUACAUAGCACUAGUUAGUGACUUAAAACUUCUUACUUACAAAUGAAAAUAAUUACACUAGUUGGUGAAAUUUAUAAUUAACCCUGAAAGUCUUGAUUAACAAUAAGAGCUCAUUAUGGGUGGCUAAUUUAAAUUUAAUAAUUUACGAUUAGAAUCAAUAAUUAUUGCAUUGCUCAUAUGAUUUCCUUAAUCAAAUCGUCUUCAGCCAAGGCUGUAUCCAACACAAGAUUCACUCUCGUGACUCCAGCUAAUUAUGGGAUUAUUGCAUUGUUUAUACAUAAUUAUGCAUAGCCAGCCCUCUAACACUCAUAUUAAUACAUCUGCUUAAUUAAUAUGAUUUCUCAAGCCUUUGAUCAAACUGGUUUAAACCCGACCAGCCGGGCUCUCUUCCAAUCCUUCCUCGGAGUAGUACGUCCGGCUGCGUUUAAUUGAUUGGAGGUUCAAGCAUGGUGAUGAGGAGCCUAAUCAAGUUGUUAGGGACUCUGAAAUCAAAACUGAGGUUUUUGAACAAAAGAAAUGCGUAUUCAGAAAUUGAGAAAACUGAGAGCAUGAGAAUGGACAUGAUGCACAGGAAAGCUCAGGCAUCAAUUGUACCGACUCUGAAGAAUGCCGAUUACCGGAGGAAAAAGAGCCACGCACAUAGCCGCUGAUCCGUGAUCGAUUGAAACCAGAAUUUCCCUUUUUAUUUAUUUGAUUUGGAGCGGAGCAAGAUAUACAAUACGUUACACAUAUAAAAAUGGUUCUGCAGCUGUUUGUUUCGGCGGUUUUUACUGUUUCAAGUCAUCAGUGUUUUAAGUCAUAUGAAAAUAGUUCUGCAGCUAUUUGUUUGAGCAGUUUUUACUGUUUCAAGUCAUCACAGCGCCACUUUGAGGUGUUACAACUUCUUACUUCAGUUUAAAUUUUGUGGCUUUUCCUCUAAAACAAGCGAUAUUGGAAAAAGUUUAUUUGUAAUUGAGAAAUUUUAUUUAAACCUAUGUAACCUCUUUUUCCAUCUAAUUUAA